rnacentral:rRNA from 1 species
ACCAGACUCCUACGGGAGGCAGCAGUGGGGGAUAUUGCACAAUGGGGGGAACCCUGAUGCAGCGACGCCGCGUGGGUGAAGAAGCGCCUCGGCGCGUAAAGCCCUGUCAGCAGGGAAGAAAAUGACGGUACCUGAAGAAGAAGCCCCGGCUAACUACGUGCCAGCAGCCGCGGUAAUACGUAGGGGGCAAGCGUUAUCCGGAUUUACUGGGUGUAAAGGGGGCGCAGACGGCGAUGCAAGCCAGGAGUGAAAGCCCGGGGCCCAACCCCGGGACUGCUCUUGGAACUGCGUGGCUGGAGUGCAGGAGGGGCAGGCGGAAUUCCUGGUGUAGCGGUGAAAUGCGUAGAUAUCAGGAGGAACACCGGUGGCGAAGGCGGCCUGCUGGACUGCAACUGACGUUGAGGCCCGAAAGCGUGGGGAGCAAACAGGAUUAAAUACCCCCGUACC